GCAUUCUGGGGCCGUACAUGCCAUUAGGUUGUUUGCUUGGCUUUUUAGCCUUGCGGGUGGCUUUUUGGCAUGGCGGCUUCGGGGAUGUCUACCGUAAAGGUGCAUGAGUGGUGUUUGGUUUGAUACGGGUGGUCGGCUCCCUGCUUGAGCAGGCACGGCCAUGCGUGCAUUCCUUUUCAGUUGUGCGGCAAGGCUUGUAUCGUCUUGAUCGUAUAAGUGGGUUUCUUGUGUUGCAUACCUGAUCAAUGGCAUCGUUUUGAUCAAAAUGGUACCUUUUCGUCUGACGAUGCACUUAUUGCGUUGUCGGAUGAACCGUGUAGCAUCCUCUUUGAUCCAUACAGUUGACGUGUACUCGUUGAUUGUUUGGCCCGUUGAGGGUGACUUGGUCUCUCGGAUAUGGAAGCCAAAGUGGGCAUGGGUUCGCAAGAUCCCUUUAUUGCCCUCAUUGAGCGUUCUCGCUUCUCUUACACGACUGCCUUUCACGUAUGGCACGUCCCAGCGUGUUUGGCUAUGUCGAAGAGGAA
rnacentral:misc_RNA from 1 species